AUGUACUCUAUCACACCUGAAAUAGUCAGGAAUCGUAGCUUCCAGUUUUUUGUGCCUAAUUACAACCCCCUAAUCUCUUCAUGUAAACCGUCAUCGACUGAUUAACCUUAAUGCGACUUGAAGCUAUCACCACAGGGAUCCUAGCAAAACACCAAUGCAUACGCAGCACAAUCUCCAACCAAAUAAUAAUUACACCGGGAACUAAACUUCUCACCCUAUCCAUGUCUCUCUUCAUGGACCGAAUCAAUUCCCUUUGUGGUACAAGGCCCAAAUCAUUAC